rnacentral:rRNA from 1 species
AACGAACGCUUGCUGCAUGCUUUAUACAUGCAAGUCGAACGGAGGCCCUAGCUUGCUAGGUGUCCUUAGUGGCGCACGGGUGAGUAACACGUGGGAACAUACCUCAUAGUACGGAAUAACUGCGGGAAACUGUAGCUAAUACCGUAUAUUCCAGCAAUGGGAAAGAUUUAUCGCUAUGAGAUUGGCCCGCGCAAGAUUAGUUUGUUGGUAAGGUAAUGGCUUACCAAGGCUACGAUCUUUAGCUGGUUUGAGAGGAUGAUCAGCCACACUGGGACUGAGACACGGCCCAGACUCCUACGGGAGGCAGCAGUAGGGAAUAUUGGACAAUGGGGGCAACCCUGAUCCAGCAAUGCAGCGUGAGUGACGAAGGCCUUAGGGUUGUAAAACUCUUUCAUCGGUGAGGAUAAUGACNGUAGCCGAAGAAGAAGGACCGGCUAAUUCCGUGCC